UGAGUAACACGUGAGUGACCUGCCUUUUAGACUGGAACAACUUACCGAAAGGUGAGCUAAUGCCGGAUGAGUUAUAUAAGUGCAUGUUUAUAUAGGAAAAGUUGGGGAGACCUGACGCUGAAAGAUGGACUCGCGUCCCAUUAGCUAGUUGGUAGGGUAAUGGCCUACCAAGGCGACGAUGGGUAGCCGGCCUGAGAGGGUGGCCGGCCACACUGGUACUGAGACACGGACCAGACUCCUACGGAAGGCAGCAG
rnacentral:rRNA from 1 species